UGAAUACGAGACGCUAAGGCGUCGAAGUAGUGUAUGUCAUACUUCCAAGAAAAGCUUGCACUGUCAUAGAUAAAAAACGCCUGUACCAUAACCGACACAGGUGGGUAGGUAGAGUAUACUAAGGGGCGCGAGAUAACUCUCUCUAAGGAACUCGGCAAAAUAACUCCGUAACUUCGGGAGAAGGAGUGCCUAUUAUUAAGGCUGCAAUAACAAGAUCCAAGCAACUGUUUAUCAAAAACACAGGUCUCCGCUAAGUCGUAAGACGAUGUAUGGGGGCUGACGCCUGCCCAGUGCCAGAAGGUUAAAGAAGUUGGUUAGCAUUUGCGAAGCUGAUAGCUGAAGCCCUGGUGAACGGCGGCCGUAACCGUAACGGUCCUAAGGUAGCGAAAUUCCUUGUCGGGUAAGUUCCGACCCGCACGAAAGGCGUAAUGAUUUGGAUACUGUCUCGGAGAGGGGCUCGGUGAAAUAGACUUGUCUGUGAAGAUGCGGACUACCUGCACCAGGACAGAAAGACCCUAUGAAGCUUUACUGUAACUUGAAAUUGAAAUUGGACUUUAUUCGCGCAGCAUAGGUGGGAGGCGUUGAUUAUAAUCUUGUGGGAUUAUUGGAGCCACCAGUGAGAUACCACUCUUGUAAUGUUAGAUUUCUAACUUUGAAUCAUUAUCUGGUCAAAGAACAGUUUCAGGCGGGCAGUUUGACUGGGGCGGUCGCCUCCUAAACGGUAACGGAGGCGUACAAAGGUUUCCUCUGAACGGUUAGAAAUCGUAUCUAGAGUGUAAAGGCAUAAGGAAGCUUGACUGUGAGGCCUACAAGUCGAGCAGGGACGAAAGUCGGUCUUAGUGAUCUGACGGUACUGAGUGGAAAGGCCGUCACUCAACGGAUAAAGUUACUCUAGGAUAACAGGCUGAUCUCCCCCAAGAGUUCACAUCGACGGGGAGGUUUGGCACCUUGAUGUCGGCUCAUCGCAUCCUGGGGCGGUAGUACGUCCCAAGGGUUGGGCUGUUCGCCCAUGAAAGCGGUACGCGAGCUGGGUUCAGAACGUCGUGAGACAGUUCGGUCCAUAUCCGGUGUAGGCGUUAGAAUAUUGAGAGGAGCCUUCUUUAGUACGAGAGGACCGAGAAGGACAUACCUCUGGUGUACCAGUUAUCGUGCCAACGGUAAACGCUGGGUAGCUAUGUAUGGAGUGGAUAACCGCUGAAAGCAUCUAAGUGGGAAGCCCACCUCAAGAUAAGUAUUCUCC
rnacentral:rRNA from 1 species